GUGGGGAAUAUUGCACAAUGGGCGAAAGCCUGAUGCAGCAACGCCGCGUGAGGGACGACGGCCUUCGGGUUGUAAACCUCUUUUAGUAGGGAAGAAGCGAAAGUGACGGUACCUGCAGAAAAAGCACCGGCUAACUACGUGUCAGCAGCCGCGGUAAUACGUAGGGUGCAAGCGUUAUCCGGAAUUAUUGGGCGUAAAGAGCUCGUAGGCGGUCUGUCGCGUCUGCUGUGAAAACUGGAGGCUCAACCGCCAGCCUGCAGUGGGUACGGGCAGACUAGAGUGCGGUAGGGGAGAUUGGAAUUCCUGGUGUAGCGGUGGAAUGCGCAGAUAUCAGGAGGAACACCGAUGGCGAAGGCAGAUCUCUGGGCCGUAACUGACGCUGAGGAGCGAAAGCGUGGGGAGCGAACAGGAUUAGAAACCCCGGUAGUCC
rnacentral:rRNA from 1 species